rnacentral:siRNA from 1 species
ACUUUGGUUGCUGAUCGUCUAGAU